UUUCAGUGUCUCUUAUAGGAGGUUCCAUUAACAACCUGAAAGUUCAUUGCCCUUAAUAGACUUGUAGAGCAACUAUAGCUGCCAGCCAUCAGUAGAGCCCAGCCAUCUUGUCUUUAGUGUAUGAUUCUACCUAUAUAAGAUCUAGAGUAGUCAGAUUCACAGAAACAGAAAGUAGUUAAUGGUUACCAGGGGCUGUGGAGAAGGGAAAUGGGGAGUUAUUGUUUAAAGGGUAUAGAGUUUCAGUUGUGGGAUGAUGAAGAAGUUACAGAGAUGGGUAGUAGUGAUGGUCGUACAAUAAUGUGAAUGUGCUUAAUGUCAUUGAAUUGUACAUUUAAAAAUAGUUAAAAGGGUAAAUAUUAUGUAUUGGUCACCCAUUUUUUACCAAGGAGUGUCCUAGGUACUGUGAAUUCUAAAAAGAAUGAGACCUGGCCUCAUUGCUGGGCAGCUUACAUGUAUCUGCCUAGCCUAGGUUUCCUUUCUCAGUGUAUGCAUGACUCAAAGUGUAAACUUCCCUGGAGGUCUUUCAGGUAUUUGCUUGAUGGCUUUUGGAUAGCCUGUGCCCUCCUGCAUUUUUAGGGUAGAGGUAAGAGUAGAACACUAGUCUUACUUCUGGAAAUUCUCUCUAGACUGUGUCACAGGAGUGUUUAUGCACUCCUGUUUGCAAGAUGAGUUUGAGAUUGACAUUAUGUGCUCAUAAGAUGUCCCUAAAAUUAUUGCUAAAUCAUAUUUUCAGAAUACUGCUCUUUCAUCAUGACCAGUUUAAUAAACAGUUUAACAAACAAGCUUUGGGCUAAGUUGUCUCCAUGUUAGGAAUUAGUUUUUAAGAAAUAAUAAGUGGUGUGCAAAAUCUUUUGUUCCUGAAUCUGUGUGUCGUAUGUACAAUAUUUAGUGUCUUCUUCAUGUCAUAUCCUGCUAAUUGAUAGGGAAUUAUCUUUAGGAAUAAAUGCUGUUUCAUAUCUUUUUUUUCUCUGAGUAGUGUUAGGAGAGAUUUGUUGAAGGCUGAAUUAAUCAAUUGGAUAUCGGUUAUGUGCAGUGUACCAUCUGGAUGUGUUAGGAACUAUGGGAAAGCUAUCUCUAAUAAAGUCUUGUUCUUGAGGCUCUUAUGAUCUAGGAGAGGGGGGAUGAAUAUAUAAUUAACUAUUUAGGCCAGGUGUGGUGGCUUUUGCCUGUAAUUCUAGCACUUUGGGAGACUGAGGUGGGCAGAUCACUUGAGGCCAGGAGUUUGAGACCACCCUGACCAACAUGGCAAAACCCAUCUCUACUAAAAAUACAAAAUUUGGGCCAGGUGUGGUGGCUCACGCCUGUAAUCCCAGCCCUUUGGGAGGUUGAGGUGGGAGGAUUACCUGAUGUCAGAAGUUUGAGACCAACCUGACCAACAUGGCGAAAGCCCAUCUCUACUGAAAGUAUAAAAAUUAGCCAGGUGUGGUGGUGCAUGCCUGUAUUCCCAGAUACUUGGGAGGCUGAGACAGGAGAAUCGCUUAAACUCAGGAGGCGGCGGUUUCAGUGAGCUGAGAUCGUGUCAUUGCACUCCAGCCUAGGUGACAAGAGUGAAACGCCGUCUCAGAAAAACAGGCAACAGUAGAAAGAUGGUGGAGCAAGAGCAAAGAAAAAUCCCUUUGGUUCUAGAAAAUAUGAAAAAGAGGAAGGCUUAUCAAGCCCUCAAAGCCACCCGGGCAAACCUGGCACUUUUGGCAAAGAAGGAGCAGAGCAAAGUAAAAUAGAUCAGCGUUAAGUAACUGGAAUAAUUCCUACAUGAUUCCUGGUGGCAGAAACAUGAUAAGGUGCGUCUCAGACUACUAGAAGUCAAACCUCAUGCCUUGGAAUUGCCAGAUAAACAUUCCUUGGCCUUUGUUGUAUGCAUCGAAAGGAUUGAUGGCAUGAAUUUACUGGUACAGACAACCAUUGCAAGGCUUUGCCUAAAGAAAAUUUUUAGUGGUGCCUUUGUAAAAGUUACCCCCCAGAACCUAAAAAUGCUGCAUAUAGUGGAACCUAAUGUGACUUAGGGAUUUCCACAUCUGAAGUCUGUCCGGGAACUCAUUUUGAAAUUUGGACAAUCCAAGGUCAAGGAUAAGACCAUCUCUCUGACUGACAACACAGCGAAUGAGGAGCACCUGCAGAAGUUUGGUGUUAUUUGCUUGGAAGACCUCAUUCAUGAAAUUGCCUUCCCAAAGAAGUAUUUCCAGGAGAUCUCAUGGUUCUUGCAUGCUGUCCACCUCUCAGGGCCCAGUUAUGCUACCAGAAAUAGAGUGAGCUUCCUCAAGGAGAUGGGCACACUUGGCUAUUGGGGUGAACGCAUAAAUCAGCUCAUCUGCCAGCUGAACUAGACCCAGGUUCCAAACUGCAGGAAAUUUUUGUUAAUGAAGUAGAAGCACGUGUUUUUGUUUUUUUUUUGGGAAUUUUUAUCAAGUAUCUUCAGAGAAGAUUAUUUUCUGCUUUAUCUUCAAAAACUGGAAAGAAGGGUCAAAGUAAAGUCAGUAGCUGGCCGGGCGCGGUGUCUCAUGCCUGUAGUCCAAGUACUUUGGGAGGCCAAGGUGGGUGGAAGGCCAAGACGGGCUGAUCACUUGAGGCCAGGAUUUUGAGACCAGCCUGACCAACAUGGCAAAAACCCAUCUCUACUAAAAAUACAAAAAUUUAGCUGGGUGUGGUGGGGCAUGCCUGUAAUUCCAGCUACUCAGGAGGCUGAGGCAGGAAAAUCGCUUGAACCUGGGAGGUGGAGGUUGUGGUAAGCUGAGAUAGCGCCAUUGCACUCUAGCCUGGGCCACAAGAGCAAAACUCUGUUCCCCCCACCCCGCCAAAAAAAAGGAAAAGGAAAAGGCAAUAGCUUAUGUUUAUGGCAAACAAAGCACCUCUUAUCACAGUCCAGUUCCAAGGAAAAAUUCCAGCGUUUUCUAUGUUGGCUGCCGCUUCAUCUGAAAUUGGGUCAUUCCAUGGAGGAAGGAGUCCUAUUUUGUUGCAUCUUGUAUCCUGGGGCUUAAUGUUGGUAAAUGAGUAACUCUAGCAUUUGUACAAAGUUCUCUAAGACUUGCAGCAGUUGACCAAACCCAGAGACAUAAUUGAAUCUGGAGAUUCCUGGGGCCUUGUUUUGAAAAAGACUUGAAAUACACAUAGGAAGAAAGGCACAAAAAUAAACGUUCACUUGUCAAAACAAAAAAUCCAAAAAUUAGCUGGGUGUGAUGGUGCCACCUGUGAUCUCAGCUACUCAGGAGGCUGAGGCAGGAGAAUUGCUGGAACCCAGGAAGUUGAGGCUGCAGUGAGCCAGGAUUGCACUACUAUACUCUCUAGCCUGGGCAAAAGAGCAAGACUCUGUCUAAAAAAAAAAAAAAAAAAAAAAAAAAUUUAAAGAAAGGGAAAAUAUGAUAAAUAACAUUAGAAACACCUUUUAAUGUUGAAAUGCUUUAACGCUGAAUUUAGAGCAAGUAGACAGUGAAUCUGUGGGAAGGGGCUUUGGGAUCAGAAAAGGCUUAAUGAAGUAGGCAGGUUUGGGUUUUGAAGGAUUUUGAAGAUUUACAUAGAUGAAGAUCAGAUGGGAGCAUUUCAGUUGGCUAGAAGAGCAUUAGCUAGUGGAAUUAGUAUUAGCUAGGUGGUGAGACCUUUAGAAAGUUGCUUAUUGAAUAAAUGUAGUCUUGAUUGUCUGCCAGAUCUAGUGCUUGAAGAGGAGUAAAAAGAAAUGUCUAUAAAAGAAGCUGAGAGUAACUGCUUGCUAUAGAGGGCUUUGAAUGCAUUCUAAUGUGAGAGUGGAGUGGGAGGUACCUCCUUUUAUAGAAAUUACAGAGCUAUUGAAGACUAAGAAGCCAGGGGGUAUGCUAACUAUUUUUACUGAGGUGAAACGGUUGCCAGUCUUCAGUGUGCACUACAAGAAGGAGAGGCUGAGAUGUGGUUGUCAGAUAGGAUGUUGUCCUGGCUGAGGUACAGCCAUAGGGGAGGGAGGAGAGACCAGGAGAGAAACAGAAGCAGUAUAAACUAGGAAUUAUGUCUGCCUCUGUAGACAGAAGAGGGUUUUUGAAGAUGGUUGAGCUGGAAGAACUUCGAGAGUAGCAGUAAAUUCUUUAAUGGUAUUUAUGGAAAUUAGGUCAGGAAGAAGAUUUGUUUUAUAAGGGAAGAAAAUGAUACAAAUUUUGGGAACAUGGUUUUUUUUAAAAAGUACUUUUGGCUAGGUACAGCGGCUCAUGCCUGUUAAUCCCAGUGCUUUCCAAAGCAGGAGGAUCACUUGAGCUCAGGAGUUCUAGACUAGCCUGGGCAAUCUAGGGAGAUCUUAGUUUUUACUAAAAAUUUUUAAAAAAAUGAGCUGGGUGUGGUAGUGGGUGCCUGUAGCGCUGGCUUCUCAGGAACCUGAAGUGGGAGGAUGCUUGAGCCCUGUAGACUGAGGCUGCAGUGAGCUCUGACUCUACCACUGCACUGCAGCCUGGUUGAAAAACCUGUCUCAAAAAAAAAAAAAAAAAAAGGAGUGCUUAUAUCUGUAUUAUGUGCAUAAAAAUUCUGUAAUAAAACAGGAUAGUUGUCAUCUUUUUGUUAUUAAGAUGAAGAGAUUGAGGCUGCCAGUUUGCCAGAGGUCACAUUGUUAGUCAUUUGUUGAACCAAAGUAGUCCCCAUGUAUGUUCAUUGUUCUAAGUGUUCUCCAUCCUCUCCCCUGUCCAUCAGACAUUCUUGUUUUGCCUGUAGUGAUAGCCUACCUCAUCUCAAAAGGGAUCAGGCUUUUCUCAAAAGCAUCAAAUUCAGAGCUUUGGGUAACUCUUCAGAACUAUUCCAACUCUCCUCAGCCACCAGAAAUUUCUAGGACUAAUUUUAAGGAAACACCAUGGCCAGCUAAUCUCACCAUCUUACACAUCCAUAUCAUUCUUCGUCGUCAUCUGCAUUGCAUUACAGGUCUUUUUUUUUUUUUUUCUUUUAUAUUGAGUCUUUGCCUUUGCAUGACCCUGAUUCAGCCUUUUACUGUUAACCCCAAGCCAGCCUUUUACUGUUGUUUCCUUUCUUUCCAAACAUUUGUAAUUAAUGCUGAGGUCUGUGGAAAACACUGUAGGCAGAGGUAUGCAAAUAGGCUUGGUCUAGUGCAGGAACAGCAAGAAGGCCAGUCUGGCUGGUGUGGCCUGAGUGAGAGGGGACGUGCUAGGAUAUUAGGUCACAGUAAGCAUGAGAUAGAUCGUGUGGGACUUGAAGGCCAAAGUAAGGAGAUUGGAUUUGAUUCUAAAUUAUUUGGGAAGUUGGUAACACUUUUUAUUUUGUUUGGUUUUGUUUUCUACUUGCUAAUUUUUUAAAAUAGAGAAACAUACCGUCUUUUAUUAUUGAAAUUAAAAAAGGAGAACAUACAAUUAUUCAAAAGAUGAAAAGUAAAACAUGUACCUUGGUUUUAUAGUAUAAAUAACUAAGAUAAGAAAGGUGGCCUGGUCGGGCAUCGUGACUCAUGCCUGUAAUCCCAGCACUUUGGGAGGCCGAGGCAGGCGGAUCACUUGAGAUCAGGAGUUCGAGACCAGCCUAGCUAACAUGGUGAAACCCUCUCUCUACCAGAAAUUCAAAAAAUUAGCUGGGCAUGGUGGCUCACGCCUGUAAUCCCAGCUACUAAGCAGGCUGAAGCUGGAGAAUUGUUUGAACCUGGGAGGCGGAGGUUACAGUGAGCCAAGAUUGUGCCACACUGCACUCCAGCCUGGCUGACACAGUAAGACUCCGUCUCAAAAAAAAAAAAUAAAAAGGAAAAAGAAGGAGGGGAGAUGAAGAGAGCAGGGA